AGCAGAGAUUGGGCUGCAGUGGCUCCAUUCUGUGCUGUAACACCAUAGCUGCUCAGCUUCACACCACCCUCUGCUCACUCUUCUCAGGCUGUCAUGAGAAACCUCUUCUGUUAACUAGCAUCACCUGUUUCACAUAUGCUGUCUCAGUUGCCAAAAUGAUGAAAAGUAAAUCCUCCUGCUGAGGUGUAUGAGAAAAACAGCAUUCCAGGCAUGGAAGAACUCUUUGAUUUCUCUCAGGCUAAUAUUGCAACAUUUUAAAAAGAAAGAGGCAAAAAAGAAAACAGAAUCAGUCUUUCCAGAAGGUCUGGGAAA